GACGAACGCUGGCGGCGUGCUUAACACAUGCAAGUCGAACGGAAAGGCCCUGCUUUUGUGGGGUGCUCAAGUGGCGAACGGGUGAGUAACACGUGAGUAACCUGCCCUUGACUUUGGGAUAACUUCAGGAAACUGGGGCUAAUACCGGAUAGGAGCUCCUGCUGCAUGGUGGGGGUUGGAAAGUUUCGGCGGUUGGGGAUGGACUCGCGGCUUAUCAGCUUGUUGGUGGGGUAGUGGCUUACCAAGGCUUUGACGGGUAGCCGGCCUGAGAGGGUGACCGGCCACAUUGGGACUGAGAUACGGCCCAGACUCAUACUGGAGGCAGCAGUGGGGAAUAUUGCACAAUGGGCGGAAGCCUGAUGCAGCAACUCCGCGUGCGGGAUGACGGCCAUCGGGUUGUAAACCGCUUUCGCCUGUGACGAAGCGUGAGUGACGGUAAUGGGUAAAGAAGCAACGGCUAACUACGUG
rnacentral:rRNA from 1 species